GAUGAACGCUGGCGGCGUGCUUAACACAUGCAAGUCGAACGGAAAGGCCCAAGCUUGCUUGGGUCCUCGAGUGGCGAACGGGUGAGUAACACGUGGGUGAUCUGCCCCGCACUUCGGGAUAAGCCUGGGAAACUGGGUCUAAUACCGGAUAGGACCACUUCUUGGAGGUUGUGGUGGAAAGUUUUUUCGGUGUGGGAUGAGCUCGCGGCCUAUCAGCUUGUUGGUGGGGUAAUGGCCUACCAAGGCGUCGACGGGUAGCCGGCCUGAGAGGGUGUACGGCCACAUUGGGACUGAGAUACGGCCCAGACUCCUACGGGAGGCAGCAGUGGGGAAUAUUGCACAAUGGGCGCAAGCCUGAUGCAGCGACGCCGCGUGGGGGAUGACGGCCUUCGGGUUGUAAACUCCUUUCGCUAGGGACGAAGCGCAAGUGACGGUACCUAGAGAAGAAGCACCGGCUAACUACGUG
rnacentral:rRNA from 1 species